CAAGAGUCUGUGCUUCUUCUAUUCUAUAAAUGCAAGAGCCUGGAGUCCUGAGAGUGUAGGAGUCCAGGAUUCCAUUAUUCUAACCGCCUGGCAAGCUAGAACUCCACCAGGGUCUCCAUGCCCCCCAGAUCCUGAUGGUCUGGGGGCUUGAGCCUCUGUGGGUACCAGGAACAGGUCUCGCCCAACAUCAGACAGCAAGGCCCUCUCUGAAACAGUAGGAAGGCAAGCGGUGGGAAUCCCGGUCCAGAGCUCUUUCCAUCCUCACCAGAGUCAGACUACUCCUUGGUUACCCGUCGUGAACGUACAGCUGGACAGACAGUCGUGUCCCCCUGCCAGAGUGAAGAAGAUGACAGAAACUAAGAUGGGACUUUUUAAAUUUCCUUCUUCCUCAACAACCCUGUGUGGGGACACUGGGAACUCAAAGAUGGAGCAGACAGCAUCUGGUGAAGAGAUGACCCACGCCUGUCCCUCUCAGGGGUGUGACUAGGAAAGGCAGACUCAGGGGAACCCAGAGUGGCCUGGCUCCUUGGGGACAGGGAAGUGGCAGGCACUUAGCAGAUGACAUCUCAUUUGAUCUUCACAGUAAUCUGUUGCAGAUGAGAAGACUGAGGCCUCCACCAGAAGAGUGACUCACACUAACCAACCACCACCAGCCAGAAAGUGCCUGAAUGAGGACCUGAACCUAGGGAUUGUUAACACUGUCAGCUGCACCUGACAGCCGCUCUGGGAGCUCAUGUGCCUCCAGAGGUGCCCCAUCCGCCCCCGUCAGCAUCAGCCUUGCUCUUUCCACACUCCCGAGGGAGGAAGAAGACGCAGCCUAAUUAAGCACCUACUAUGUGCCCCUGAUGGUGUGAAGCACCUUACAUUCAUUAUCUCCUCAAACUGUCUCCUAGGGCUCUGAAGGCUUGUCCCUGCCUCUUGCAGCUCCUGGCCCCGGCCUUUCUUCUCACCCUCCCUGCACCUCACAGCACCACCCUGGAUGCAGCUUCUGGGACAGAGCGUCUCCAUAGCCCUAGAUGCAUAUAGGUGCCCAGAAACUGGCAGUAUGAUUCUCAGCUGCAGGGCCGAUAAUGGGGAGCAGAAAGGGGAGUGGGGGAGGUGUAGGGACAACGGGAGGAAGGGGAGAGAAAAGGAGAAGGAGACCAGGUGGAGCUGGGGACACAGGGGAGCAGGCUGCUGCACACCAGCCACACUCCACAUACACAUGCACACACGCCCGGCCUGGGCUGCAGCCCAGAUGAUCGACCCAUGGCACCACACUCCCUUGAGCCCCAGUUCCUGGAAGGAACUCUCUGCUAAUGAAAUCUCAGACAACUUUAAAGGGGGAAGGGGGGACUGCCAUCAGGGACCACCUGCCAGGUGCCAGGUGCCAGGUGCCAGGCCCACCCAGUUGAUUCUCUCAUCUAAUCCUUAUGGUAUUAUUAGCCUGACUACAGGUGGUAAAACUGAGGUCCUGGGGCAGGAUGUCAUUUGUGUAAAGCCACAUAGCUAGAAAUAGUAGAACAGUAAUCCAGACUGGGCCCGUGGCAAACCCAUGGCUCCUGGUAGUGGGCUGACUCCUGAGAAGAGCCCAGGAAGCCUCCUUCCACCCCGCCUUCCUGGCCCAGAGCCAUGCUGGGGCAGCUUCUCCUGCCUUCAGAAGGCAGAAGGCAGAGACUGUGGCUCCCUCUUCUCUCUCUCCCCUCCGGGCGCUGCAGGCAUUAUUGAUCAACUGUCUCCCAGCCUCUUCUUCCUGAUGCCUGGAGGCUGCCUCCUCCAUGUAGCCCUCCAGCUGAUCAGUGUCACUGCCAGAGUGAUUCUGGGGGCGGCCUAGGGACAAUGAGAAGGGACUCCUCAUCUCUUCCUCAGCCCAGCACUCUCCCUCCUCCUCAGGAACUGGCCCAGGUGGAUGGUUGGUGCAAAGGGCAAGGUGGAGGUUCGUGUUCAUACAUGGAUGGACAUGUGUGCACACGUACAUGUGUUCAUGUGUGCAUGCAUAAGUAAGUCAAUAUAGCAAAGGAGUUGCACACACAAGAUGUAAGCCAUAUGACUUGGGUUUAAACCCCAGCUUCUCCAUUUCCUGGAUAUGUGAACCUGUGCAAGUCACUUAAUCCCUCUGAGCUUCAGUUUCCUUAUCCCUACAGUGUGGUUACCAAUAGUACACAGCCAAUAGGAUAAAUGAGAGGAUACAUGCAGAACUCUGGCACAAUGCUUGGCAUACAGUAUUUUUUGAUGAUACAUGAAAGUUUUUAUUACUGUUCCUGUGAGCAUGUGUGCACAUCUGCACGUGUAAGUGCCCUUGGAAGGAUGGCAUUCUGGUACUCCAGCAAGGAGCUGUAGGUUGCUCCCUAACCCACGGCUUCCCUUGAGUAGUGGCUGCAGCCACACUCUCAGCCCAAUCUCAGAGAAGGGGGAAUUGCUGCACUGCUUCCCCCCGCUCAGAUAAAAACCCCCAUGUGUGCUGGGUGAAGCUGUAGUCGGGGAGAUGGAUGGCUUGGCGGCCACCAGGCAGAACUGGUGAUUAGAAGGCUAACGGCCCAGCAUCCGGAAGGGAACGGGAGGGAGGCUGAGCUGUGGGGCCAUCCAUCAAAGCUGGCAGGCCCAGCUAUGCUACAUAGAGGGGUGGAAGAGAGGCAAGGGGACAGCUACAAAGGGGGGAGAGUAGAGAUAGGCUAAGGGCCAGGCAGCCAGGCCAGCCCAGCACUGACCUGUUCAGUAACCCUGAGUGAGUCACUGUUGCCCUGAGACCUCAGUUUCUCCAUCAGGAUAACGGGGCUAAAUGUCUCUGCCUUGAUCAGUUCCAGCCACAGCAGACCCAGUAUCAGGCCCCAGGGCCAGGAAGAGCCUGAGGAGAGUAUAAGGGCCUCAGAGAUGCCGUCACCAUCUAGGGGUGCCCGAUUCAGCCAGAGAUCCCUGGGAGUGCAAAGUAAGGGGUUGGGCAUAGUGCCUGGCCUGGGAGCCCAAAGGCCCGAGUUUCUGACCUUCAUCAACUUCUGACCAUAAUCUCGUGCUGACCUCAGCCAAGCCCCUGGUUUCCCAGGCCCUUCCUUGAAUGCUGUCCCCCACUACCACCACCACACAGGAGGCAGGGAGGGCCAUAAGCAUAGCCCUUGCCUAUGCAAAUUUCAUUCACGCUAGGGGCAAAAUCACCUAUGGGCCCUCCUCACCUUUUGGAGGUAGCAGUUACCUGGAUAAAUCCUGGCCAGCAAGUCUGAGGCAAGAGAUCCUAGCUGGGUUCUAGGGGUUCCUGACAGAGCU